rnacentral:lncRNA from 1 species
UAGUUUGUUUAUGUAGUGGAUUACAUUGAUGGAUUUCCAUAUAUUGAACCAUCCCUGCAUUCCUGGCAUGAAGACGACUUGAUCAUGGUCGUAAUUUAUUCAGAAGAAUGAUUUUCAACAUAUGUUGAAGACACUGGGCAAAAGUUUGAGAACAAGACAGUCUCAUCACUCCACAGAUCAUUUUUAAAUAAAAAGGAGGAAAGAUGACUUUACAAUGACUGGAUCUGGCAGAUACUCUAUAGGAACCAAACGUGGACUGACAAGGUCCCUGGGAUCCAACCUGGGCUGCCAACCUUCGGGACACUAAGGACAGAUGAGCAGAGACACAGUCCCUCACUCAAUCUGGCCUCCCAGAUUGGGUAAAGUGGCUGGCCAUCAUGUCCCUGUCUUUCUCAUGUCUCCAUCCAAGCAGAGCUGGGAUAAGGAAUAGAACUAUCAGGAAGAGGCAUAAGUGAAACAAACUCACUAUGUGCUGGACAGACACUCUGACUGCAGAGAACGUGACCACUCCUGAAAUGAUCCCUCUACCUCAGUGAGUACUUGAAUUUCUCACAAGACAAAAAUGUCUUUUCUCUACAUGAUUUGGAAGAGAGGUCCGUGGCAACAGAAAGAUGCAGCCUACAAACCUUAUGGAUGGGUGGUC